GAAAGGAUUAUUAACAAAGUUAUUUUAGACAUCAAAUUCAUAAUUGCAACUAUUUUGGUAGAUUAUCCUCAAGGUUUAUUUUACUUACCAGAUCAUUGGGAUUUUAUUUAGUCAACUUUACUAUUUCAUAGCUUGGUGACUGUAUAAAGCUAACAAGCUCCUUUUCAUAUAGAAAUUAGGUUGCUAUGAAUUGGAUUUGAAGUAGGUUUUAAUUUUUCAUAAUGGUAUUUUUCUUUUAUUUUGAGUUCCAAGUUGUACUUUGUUUUACUUUUGCAUCAACG
rnacentral:misc_RNA from 1 species